rnacentral:rRNA from 1 species
CUGUGGAUCAGUGGCGAACGGGUGAGUAACACGUGAGCAACCUGCCCCUGACUCUGGGAUAAGCGCUGGAAACGGCGUCUAAUACUGGAUACGAGCAACGGCCGCAUGGCCAGUUGUUGGAAAGAUUUUUUGGUUGGGGAUGGGCUCGCGGCCUAUCAGCUUGUUGGUGAGGUAAUGGCUCACCAAGGCGUCGACGGGUAGCCGGCCUGAGAGGGUGACCGGCCACACUGGGACUGAGACACGGCCCAGACUCCUACGGGAGGCAGCAGUGGGGAAUAUUGCACAAUGGGCGGAAGCCUGAUGCAGCAACGCCGCGUGAGGGAUGACGGCCUUCGGGUUGUAAACCUCUUUUAGCAGGGAAGAAGCGAAAGUGACGGUACCUGCAGAAAAAGCGCCGGCUAACUACGUGCCAGCAGCCGCGGUAAUACGUAGGGCGCAAGCGUUAUCCGGAAUUAUUGGGCGUAAAGAGCUCGUAGGCGGUUUGUCGCGUCUGCUGUGAAAUCCCGAGGCUCAACCUCGGGCCUGCAGUGGGUACGGGCAGACUAGAGUGCGGUAGGGGAGAUUGGAAUUCCUGGUGUAGCGGUGGAAUGCGCAGAUAUCAGGAGGAACACCGAUGGCGAAGGCAGAUCUCUGGGCCGUAACUGACGCUGAGGAGCGAAAGGGUGGGGAGCAAACAGGCUUAGAUACCCUGGUAGUCCACCCCGUAAACGUUGGGAACUAGUUGUGGGGUCCAUUCCACGGAUUCCGUGAC